AUUGAGCAAUGGGCGCAAGCCUGACUCAGCAACGCCGCGUGGACGAUGACGGCCUUCGGGUUGUAAAGUCCUUUUCUGAGGGACGAUGAUGACGGUACCUCAGGAACAAGUCCCGGCUAACUACGUGCCAGCAGCCGCGGUAAAACGUAGGGGGCGAGCGUUAUCCGGAUUUACUGGGCGUAAAGCGCAUGUAGGCGGUUUGGAAAGUUGGACGUGAAAGCUCCUGGCUUAACUGGGAGAGGUCGUUCGAUACUACCAGACUGGAGGUUGGAAGAGGAGAGUGGAAUUCCCGGUGUAGUGGUGGAAUGCGUAGAUAUCGGGAGGAACACCAGUGGCGAAAGCGGCUCUCUGGACCAAUUCUGACGCUGAGAUGCGAAAGCGUGGGGAGCAAACGGGAUUAGAUACCCCGGUAGUCCACGCUGUAAACGAUGGAGACUAGGUGUCGGCGGUCAUUUACCCCGUCGGUGCCGCAGCUAACGCGUUAAGUCUCCCGCCUGGGGACUACGGCCGCAAGGUUA
rnacentral:rRNA from 1 species